UUGAAUUAACUUGUUGGGUUGUAGCUGGCUCCUAGGAGCAUGUGCACGCCCUUCAUUGUUUUUCCACCUGUGCACCUUAUGUAGCCCUGGAAGUCCUGCAAAGGAUACCCCAGCCUGGAGGAGCGUCAGCCUCUCUGGGUUUCCAGGUCUAUGUUUUCAUAUACCCCAUUAGAAUGUUCAGAAUGUCAUUUAUGGGCUUUAUGCCUUUAAACUAAAUA
rnacentral:misc_RNA from 1 species